GACGAACGCUGGCGGCGUGCUUAACACAUGCAAGUCGAACGGAAAGGCCCUGCUUUUGUGGGGUGCUCGAGUGGCGAACGGGUGAGUAACACGUGAGUAACCUGCCCUUGACUUUGGGAUAACUUCAGGAAACUGGGGCUAAUACCGGAUAGGAGCUCCUGCUGCAUGGUGGGGGUUGGAAAGUUUCGGCGGUUGGGGAUGGACUCGCGGCUUAUCAGCUUGCUGGUGGGGUAGUGGCUUACCAAGGCUUUGACGGGUAGCCGGCCUGAGAGGGUGACCGGCCACAUUGGGACUGAGAUACGGCCCAGACUCCUACGGGAGGCAGCAGUGGGGAAUAUUGCACAAUGGGCGGAAGCCUGAUGCAGCAACGCCGCGUGCGGGAUGACGGCCUUCGGGUUGUAAACCGCUUCCGCCUGUGACGAAGCGUGAGUGACGGUAAUGGGUAAAGAAGCACCGGCUAACUACGUG
rnacentral:rRNA from 1 species